GUGCUCACUUUGGCAGCACAUAUACUAAAAUUGGAAUGAUACAGAGAUUAGCAUGGCUCCUGUGGAAGGAUGACAUGCAAAUUCUUAAAGUAUUCCAUUAAAAA
ensembl:snRNA U6 U6 spliceosomal RNA